rnacentral:rRNA from 1 species
GAUGAACGCUGGCGGCGUGCCUAAUACAUGCCAGUCGAGCGAACAGACGAGGAGCUUGCUCCUCUGACGUUAGCGGCGGACGGGUGAGUAACACGUGGAUAACCUACCUAUAAGACUGGGAUAACUUCGGGAAACCGGAGCUAAUACCGGAUAAUAUAUUGAACCGCAUGGUUCAAUAGUGAAAGACGGUUUUGCUGUCACUUAUAGAUGGAUCCGCGCCGCAUUAGCUAGUUGGUAAGGUAACGGCUUACCAAGCAACGAUGCGUAGCCGACCUGAGAGGGUGAUCGGCCACACUGGAACUGAGACACGGUCCAGACUCCUACGGGAGGCAGCAGUAGGGAAUCUUCCGCAAUGGGCGAAAGCCUGACGGAGCAACGCCGCGUGAGUGAUGAAGGUCUUCGGAUCGUAAAACUCUGUUAUUAGGGAAGAACAAAUGUGUAAGUAACUAUGCACGUCUUGACGGUACCUAAUCAGAAAGCCACGGCUAACUACGUG